rnacentral:rRNA from 1 species
CCUACGGGGGGCUGCAGUGAGGAAUAUUGGUCAAUGGGCGAGAGCCUGAACCAGCCAAGUCGCGUGAGGGAGUACUGCCCUAUGGGUUGUAAACCUCUUUUGUCGGGGAGCAAAAGCCGGACGUGUCCGGCUGUGAGAGUACCCGAAGAAAAAGCAUCGGCUAACUCCGUGCCAGCAGCCGCGGUAAUACGGAGGAUGCGAGCGUUAUCCGGAUUUAUUGGGGUUAAAGGGUGCGCAGGCGGAUUUUUAAGUCAGCGGUCAAAUCGUGGGGCUCAACCCCAUCCAGCCGUUGAAACUGGGGAUCUAGAGUGUGCGAGAGGUAUGCGGAAUGCGUUGUGGAGCGGGGAAAUGCAUAGAUAUCACGCAGAACCCCGAUUGCGAAGGCAGCAUACCGGUGCACAACUGACGCUCAGGCACGAAAGCGUGGGUAUCGAACAGGAUUAGAUACCCGAGUAGUC